AAAAAGUUAAAAACAAAACUACUCUCCGAUCCAGCAACUGCACUACACGGUCUUGCUGUGUCUACAUCUAAGCUGUUACGUUGGAUUUCAGGGUGGACACCUCCCACGCCUAGCACCCAUCCCCAGGGGUGGGCACCUGUAUCGCACCUGCCAUGGCGAUUGCCCUCGUACGUGCCCCCUUAUGGACCUGAGAAGGAUUUGUUGAAUCACAGGGGUUACAGAUAUUCGUCGUGAAUAAGUAGUGUCUAUUGCUCUCCAGACUGCUGUCUACCCUAGUCUAAGAGCUGUGUGUAGCAUUUCCUACAGGCCCACAACCACAGCCACACCUGGCAUGGAAAUGAGAAUAUUGAUACGGACACCAGAGUGAAAAGAUAAGAAAAAGAGGCCCUGCCCUUGGGCAGCCUGAGGCCCUCCAGCCUCCCCGAGACAGAAUACCCAUUCACAUCACAAGGCAUUUCUCUGUGUCACAACACAGAUGAGGAAUGCUAGGGUAGGAUGCCCUCCCCACUGCUACUAUCUUCUGAAAAAAUGACUCAAGUCUCAGGAUUGUGUGGAAUGAGGGAGAGUCACUGUUAAAUUUCUCAGGAUGUCACUUUGGUAAUCUCUGUUCCACCAGGAACAGUCACGAUUGCUGACCAUUCUGCCACCAUCCUGGGAGCUAUAUCCAUCUAAGGAAGAAGCAUAUGCGGACAGAACUGGUCAAGGCCUCACGGGCAAGGUUCUGAGGAACAAGGGGAAUCCAGGCCUGCUUGACUGCAAACCACAAUCUCUUCCUAUGCCUUUGUGGGACAUACUUCACAAGAAGGGGCAGAAAUACAGGCUGCUCAAGAAGUUAACUUUGCUCCUUGGGGAACGUGGAAGUGUUCCCUGCAGAGUCACGACCGGGCUCCCCCACGAAUGCUGCAGAUUCCAAGAGCACAGGUCCCUUUCUUUUGCUUUGUCACCUUGGGGUUUUAGGGAUUUCAGUAUAGCAGUUGAGAUACAAACCCAUAAACUUUAUUUAGAAAAGCACGAUGAUCUGAGAACCAUAGAGUUUGCUUUGUUAGGUUG